rnacentral:rRNA from 1 species
UGCGCAGGCGGACCAGCAGGCAUGUCGUGAAAUCCCACAGCUCAACUGUGGAACUGCGAUGUGAACCUCUGGUCUUGAGGCAAGUAGGGGUCGAUGGAACCAUGGGUGGAACGGUGAAAUGUGUAGAUAUCCAUGGGAACGCCAAUGGCGAAGGCAGUCGACUGGGCUUGUCCUGACGCUCAGGCACGAAAGCGUGGGGAGCGAACG